rnacentral:rRNA from 1 species
UACGUAGGUGACAAGCGUUGUCCGGAUUUACUGGGCGUAAAGAGCGCGCAGGCGGUCGUUCAAGUCGAGUGUGAAAGCCCCCCGGCUCAACUGGGGAGGGUCACUCGAUACUGAUCGACUCGAAGGCAGGAGAGGGAAGUGGAAUUCCCGGUGUAGUGGUGAAAUGCGUAGAUAUCGGGAGGAACACCAGUGGCGAAGGCGACUACCUGGCCUGUUCUUGACGCUGAGGCGCGAAAGCUAGGGGAGCAAACGGG